CACCGGCGCCACAAGUGGUCAUCACGAUUAUUGGGCCUAAAGCGUCCGUAGCUGGUGCGGUGCAUCCCUUGUGAAAUCGUUCGGCUUAACCGAACGGCGUGCAGGGGACACGGCCGCGCUCGAGACCGGGAGGGGUCAGAAGUAUUCCAUGGGGACCGGUAAAAUGGGAUAAUCCAUGGAGGACUACCGAUGGCGAAGGCAUCUGACCAGAACGGAUCUGACAGUGAGGGACGAAAGCCAGGGGAGCGAACCGG
rnacentral:rRNA from 1 species